GACUCUCUUGCAGUGAGGUAUGGCGUGUCCUCUCCAUGACAAUGUGAGGGAAAGUGAUGUGUGCCACUUCCAGGUUCUAUGGAACCCUGGAAUGAAGAGGAUGCCAACCUUGAAAAGCUAUUCUAGUUCUUUCAAUGUGCCAUAAUGGUAUAGAAGCAAAUGUUUCUACUGAGCUUAUGAUACCUGUCCUGAUCCUUGGACUACACCCUAGACUUUCUGUGUGUCUUACGUGGCUCCCAGCCUGACCUUGAUUGCCAUCAAUCUCCAGUGAGCACUUGGCCUUGGCUUGACCCAGUUUAAUGAUGACAUUGAGUGUCUAGAU